UUGACAAUAUGAUCCUGUACGUUUCACUCAAUAGGCAAACCCCCUCACUGUUUCAAGUAUAAGAAAUUUUAAAAGAACACUGUAAAUACAACUACGAAGUCGUAAAAAAUUAUACAAUAUGUGAUAGCAACAUGCUACAGCAGUUACUACGUAGCAUCUUUGGCCUCCCGAACAUCUAAAAAUAUAAGUCUAUCAUCUUUGUUCGUGUAGCCAUUUUCCGAACUCAGAAGACUGCAGGUUGAGCCAUUGAAGAAGGAUUUGCAGUUUGAACAACUUGUAAAGAAAAUGAUUGGAAUUCAAGGAGCAUUCCGUGUUGCCCCGAGAUUUGGCAGCAUGAUUUGCCAAAGUCGCUCUAUUGUUUCGGGUGUGCCCCGAACAAAAAUUUCAAAAGCGGAAAAAUACGUCCUGGGAACAGUCCUGGCAACCAGUAUUUGUGUUAUACCAGCCUAUGUUUUGGUUAAUUUGAAGCAUUAUUCUGGAAGAGAAUAACAGGCUUACUUUCUGUAGAGUACCUUAAAAUUUUGGUGUAAAUAUUUCACUGUUAUACUACUUAGUGCAUUGUUAAUAUUGUCAGCUACUGUGUUGGAUGUAAGAUUGCUACAAGCAUUAACUAAUGAAAUAGUGCUGGUUGUGAGUAAUACAGUUGUGUGAAAGUAAAUUAUGGUGAAAGUUGUCAUAUUUUACUUGUGGAUGAUGUACUAGCUGCAAUAAAAGUUGAUUAUGUACAAAGUA